CUGGGGGUCUCUAGGUUUAUCUUAUCGCUGUAUGUGAUAAAUAUGAUAUUGCUCUAGAGAUUUGACUAUUGUUAUGGUAUAAUUUAAUCUCCAAUGAAAGUAAUUAAGCUAUUGAAAAGUUACGUGAAGGGCUUGACUUCAUGCAGUAAUUCCAGAGAUAAUGUAUUUAUCAACCGUCUACCUUACCAUGCUCGCUUGUUGACGUAUUACAGGAUACUUUGACUAUUUAUAGCAGCAAACUCUAACGCCAAUAUUAUUAUGAUUAUAUAAUAUGUAUUUAAGUCAUUGUGAAUAGGAUACAAAUUAUCUUAAGCUCUAAACAUUAAGCGUCAUUACUUUUAUUUUUGUCGGAGCCUGUGAGACCAGCGUCUAACAAUUUUAUUCCGUUUACGUAGACGCCUUUAAAAUAGUUACCUCCCUUGAACGAACACUUUCCAUACCUACAUAUACUAAGAAUCGCGUAGUUCUGUGCUCUUUGCAAGGUGGUAAACUGUUUUUCUCCAGUGGAAAGGCA